CCAGCCCGCUCCUCCCUUUUAAAUAUUGAAGCCCUCAAAAUCAUCUUUAGAUAAAGGCACAGACCUCCCUCCCAAGCAUGUCCUUAACCUUGGCAAAAUAAACUUCCAAAUUGAUUGAGAGCUGGUUUUGGUUUACAAGCUGGCAGCCAAAGGAAGUGACUCAGUGGAGGUGGCCCUGACCUUUGACAAAUCUAUCAGUGCUUGGUACCAGCUUGGGCUAUUUUUAUUGCUCAAACAGGACAAUUUGCUGAGGCCUGGGAGCACCCCACUCCAGAGAAUCCCUGAUGUCCCAAAAUUUGGUUGAGAUCUAAAGUUUAUUUUGCUGUACACCUCUUUGUCUGCAGUUUUACUUACUCCCAACAAAGAAGGUGCGUUUUCCUGCCUCCAUGACGAUGGAGGGGAGGCAACUCCUUUCUGGAAUUUCAUCUGGCUUCCAGCAGGGAAGGUAAGGAAGCAUGACAGUUGCCCUGACGGCUCCCUGUACCACAUUCAUCACAGCAGAACCUCGUAAUGAAGCUGGAUUUGAGGGCAACACACCCCCUUUAUUGGCUACACACACACUAUCAAGACAAUUCAACUUAGCUACAUUAUACAAAGAAUCAAUCCAAGUUCAUCUACAGCGGAUUCGGAAGGGACUAGACCUUCCGCAAUG
rnacentral:lncRNA from 1 species